rnacentral:rRNA from 1 species
GACGAACGCUGGCGGCGUGCUUAACACAUGCAAGUCGAACGGAAAGGCCCUGCUUUUGUGGGGUGCUCGAGUGACGAACGGGUGAGUAACACGUGAGUAACCUGCCCUUGACUUUGGGAUAACUUCAGGAAACUGGGCUAAUACCGGAUAGGAGCUCCUGCUGCAUGGUGGGGGUUGGAAAGUUUCGGCGGUUGGGGAUGGACUCGCGGCUUAUCAGCUUGUUGGUGGGGUAGUGGCUUACCAAGGCUUUGACGGGUAGCCGGCCUGAGAGGGUGACCGGCCACAUUGGGACUGAGAUACGGCCCAGACUCCUACGGGAGGCAGCAGUGGGGAAUAUUGCACAAUGGGCGGAAGCCUGAUGCAGCAACGCCGCGUGCGGGAUGACGGCCUUCGGGUUGUAAACCGCUUUCGCCUGUGACGAAGCGUGAGUGACGGUAAUGGGUAAAGAAGCACCGGCUAACUACGUG